AGGAUUAUAAUUUAAGGUUUAAAAUAAUUAAUUUGCAUUUAAUAUAUAUUGAAUUUCUCAAUUAAUCUUA
rnacentral:tRNA from 1 species